rnacentral:rRNA from 1 species
GACGUUGCGGCCGCUAGUUAACCGGUUGUCCGAUAGGGCAGACGCCGGGCAGCCACGCCGCUGAGGAUAAGGGCUGAAAGCAUCUAAGCCCGAAGCCUCUCCUGAAAAUAGGCAGCCGUUCCCGAAGAUGGCUGGGCUGGCAACAGCUUGGCUUUACGGGACGAGGGCUCCCAUAGAAGAUGGGUUUAAUGGAACCGGGGUGUACGCCGGAAGACUUCGGUCGACCGGCUCAGCCUGCGGUCCCCAACCGCUCGAGGUGUUGGGUCU